AGAUGAUGCAAAGAAAUAGAUGAUACAAGGUGGUUCAAAUUUUCUGCCGCAAGCUCAAUAUUUCUGAUGGAACUCAUUUUAACAUCCGCCGCAACUAAUGAAUUACACAAAGGUACAACACCAUUCCAACAAGGAAAAGAAAAUGAGAGGUAGAAAGACGGAUCAUAACGUUUCGAAAAACUCCAAAUAAUGUUUUGUUCUCUUCUCCACCUUACAAAAAUUGUUCCCAGCAACUGCCUGCCUUCCCACAUCUGAUACUGUCUUAUGCUGCUUCACUACUUUAUCCCCCUCUUCUUUCAGUAACUCACUAUUUCGAUUCACUUAGAUGGGGCACGGUGGUACAUCAAGAGUAAUACCAGCCUGGAUUUGACCCCAACCAAUAAGACGCCAGUGCUUCUCAAUUCUCCGACUUAGAGCAAUUUUUUCGCCUUUGCUGGUACACACUGGGGACGUCAAUUGCAGUUUCGCAAAUACAUUUUUAACAGCUACAACGCGAGCCCCAGUUGACAUAGACCCUAUAUUUAACAUAAGGAUUUCUCCCUUUGCCAACUUUGAAACUUUACCCUGCCUUUCUGUGUCCUUUGUCCUCACACCCAAAAGACGACGGAGCAAAAAGAAAUUCACCUCUAAUUCGACGAAAACUUCAGGAAGCGACCCAACCUCCCCGAGAACUUGUCCCACCAAUCGAUCAGCACGUGUCAGUGUUGGAUCCAUGGUCGUUCCAACUCCAAUAAGGCCUCCAGGCACGGCAAAUUGUAGUUCAUUUUGCUCGGCAAACAGUGACACAAUUCUUGAAUAUAUGGGGGUACAUUUAAUAUUGCCACUUUCAUCCUUGACAACAAUACCUGGACGAACCUCGAUCAAUUGAUUUACCUUCAACACACCCUUUAAAAUACUGCCACCAGCAACGCCACCUCUAAUCUCAUCAACUUCAAAACCAGGUUUA
rnacentral:misc_RNA from 1 species